CCUACGGGGGGCAGCAGUGGGGAAUAUUGGACAAUGGGGGCAACCCUGAUCCAGCCAUGCCGCGUGUGUGAAGAAGGCCCUCGGGUUGUAAAGCACUUUCAGUGAGGAAGAACGCCUGGUGGUUAAUACCCAUCAGGAAAGACAUCACUCACAGAAGAAGCACCGGCUAACUCCGUGCCAGCAGCCGCGGUAAUACGGAGGGUGCGAGCGUUAAUCGGAAUUACUGGGCGUAAAGCGCGCGUAGGUGGCUUGAUAAGCCGGUUGUGAAAGCCCCGGGCUCAACCUGGGAACGGCAUCCGGAACUGUCAAGCUAGAGUGCAGGAGAGGAAGGUAGAAUUCCCGGUGUAGCGGUGAAAUGCGUAGAGAUCGGGAGGAAUACCAGUGGCGAAGGCGGCCUUCUGGACUGACACUGACACUGAGGUUCGAAAGCGUGGGUAGCAAACAGGAUUAGAUACCCUAGUAGUC
rnacentral:rRNA from 1 species